rnacentral:rRNA from 1 species
UCUUCAUACCACCCUGAACGUGUCUAAUCUCAUCUGGUCUCAGAAACUAAACAGGGUCGGGCCUGGUUAGUACUUGGGAGAAAGAUCUUCAGAAGAGACUGCCCAGAGAC